rnacentral:misc_RNA from 1 species
UUACCGUCUUACAGGAGAUAGCAUAUACGUAGAGCGAGCAAAGGCAUUUGCGAGCUUCUUGUAUCACAAUGCAAGUAAAUUUGUGGCUGGAGGAAAUGUCGGCGGGGCUGAUCAUACUUACUCUCUUUUUUGNNNNNACUGGCUGGGACAGGUUUCCUCUGGUUAGAUCUUGCAACUGAAAGGUCCAGGUUCCCUGGUUUUGAACUUUAGGUGAGAGGUGAAGAUGUUCAGUUGAAAUCUAUAUUUAUCAGCAUGAAAUGUAAACCUAACAUGUAUAUACAUGUAUAAAAGAUAUCUAAUUCACAUAUGACGGGG